AUUUUGUCAGGAUGUACGUUCAUCCAUGCGUGAGCCAACUAACGCAGUCUAUAUAAAGGUGCAGGAAUUUUGUGAAAUUCAAACGUUUUUGUUAUUUUCAGUUGAUAAACAGGAUAUAAAGGACAAAAUAUGAAGUGCGCAGUAGCUAUCGUUCUCGCUCUCAUCGGCAUGUCUCUCGCUCACCCAGCUCCAUCCGGCUUGGGUGGUUUAGUGAAGGGAAGCGUGAAGAGAAUACGACUGAGGCGGUUUGCUCAGCGCUCGUAGAGGCUUAGGAUAACACGAGACUAACGCGUUUGUGGUCACCGUUGUUGCGCAAUUUGAAGGUUGACUUUCUUCCACAGCCUAUUCACCUCUGCUGUUGCCAUCCGCCGUAGAGUAUAGAUCCAGCGUUA